ACAGGAUCUGGAGUGUGAAAUGGGUGGCAUGGGAUUGAACGGUGGAGGCCUAAACAAUAUUAAUUGAGUGUUGGGAGUAAUAAAAAAUGAGAUGAUAUCAGUCAAUAAUAUGGCUUGCUGUUUUUGUCCACACAGGCAACAUGUGAGGAGAAAUCAUAGAUGAAUAGUAAUUGAGAUUCUCUCUUUUCAAGAAAAGUAUAGAUAGUGAAAAGAGCACCCUGACUUCACCUUUAAAGUUCCAAUAAAUUUUCUUCUUUAGCUGCAAUAAUACACCCAAAAUGGGUGCAAAAAUUUCGAGAUGUACUCAACUAGAUGGCAAAGAGAAUAAUGAAACACAAUGAAAAUAAAACUUCCUAAUUACAAGAAUUUAAUGCUGCACGUGAUUUAAAAUUUAAGAUAAUAGUUAUGAUUGAAGCGUGAUGUCAAGAUGCUUAAAUCUUUGGUGUCAUUGCCUCUAGAUUUGUGGUUUUCUCUCUUUUUUUUUUCUUUUUUGAAAUAAAUUUCAUAUUUAUUUAUCGUGUCAAAUAGUCAAGAAAACAAAUUUCUAGAUUUUUUUCACUCGUUUUUGGGUCUAAUAAUGAAGCAAACAUAUUUCUUCAUUGUUUUUCGGAAGACCAAUGAAAAAAGUAAGAGGCAACAUUAGUCUAAUCCGCAUAGACUAUCAUAAAAAGGCAAAAGAAUACACCACAUUAAAAAACAUUGCAAUCUUGUGGGAUGUG
rnacentral:lncRNA from 1 species